rnacentral:lncRNA from 1 species
UAAAAGUGAACAGUGUUGAUAAUUUUUUUGUGACAGGAUUGGUGAUAUCCUCAGAAUUCCCACCAGUAAUUCAGGAACAAAAAGACCUCCUGGAAGUGAUGGAUCAGUUAAGACGUUUGCCUUCAGGACUGGACUCUGUAUUACAGAAAACUGUACCAUGGGGAGUAGCAUUUCAUCAUGCAGAUAAUGGUGGAGUGGCAAGUACAUCACAAGAUAUGCAUACUUACGCUGACUGUAUAUAUGCUGUAUGUACUUAUGCAUACUGUAUAAGUAUGAUGGAAGGGAAGCAAGAAAUUCAGAGAAAUCGAGUCUGUUCAGGUUGGAGCAAUUGAAGCCUGUGUCAUGUGGCUGCUGGAAAAUGAAUUCAUCCAGAUUACAGAAGCCAGUGAUGGAACAGAAGGAAAGGUGUAUCAUCCAACACAUCUUGGUUCGGCUACUCUUUCUUCUUCACUUUCUCCAGCUGAUACUUUAGAUAUUUUUGCUGACCUGCAAAGAGCAAUGAAGGGCUUUGUUUUAGAGAAUGAUCUUCAUAUUGUCUACCUGGUAAGUUCUGUUGUCUUAACGGUUAUGUUUGUGAAAAUAGGGAGAAAAAAUAGAUACAGAAUCCUAACAUCAAAGAUACCCUAACAAAACAUCUUAUCUGUUUUCUUUUGACUAGGUUAGUACUGGUGGGAAUAGAGAAGUAAAG